UGGGGAAUAUUGCGCAAUGGGGGAAACCCUGACGCAGCCAUGCCGCGUGUGUGAAGAAGGCCUUAGGGUUGUAAAGCACUUUCAAUAAGGAGGAAAAGCUAGUAGUUAAUACCUGCUAGCCCUGACGUUACUUAUAGAAGAAGCACCGGCAAACUCCGUGCCAGCAGCCGCGGUAAUACGGAGGGUGCGAGCGUUAAUCGGAAUUACUGGGCGUAAAGCGCGCGUAGGCGGUUUGUUAAGCUGGAUGUGAAAUCCCCGGGCUCAACCUGGGAACUGCAUCCAGAACUGGCAGGCUAGAGUAUGGUAGAGGAUAGUGGAAUUUCCUGUGUAGCGGUGAAAUGCGUAGAUAUAGGAAGGAACACCAGUGGCGAAGGCGGCUGUCUGGACCAAUACUGACGCUGAGGUGCGAAAGCGUGGGGAGCAAACAGGAUUAGAUACCCCCGUAGUCC
rnacentral:rRNA from 1 species